CAGCCGCCGCGGUAAUACUAGCGGUCCAAGUCGCAGCCAUUUUUAUUGGGUCUAAAACAUCCGUAGCUUGUUUGAUAAGUUUCUUGUGAAAUUUUGCAUCUUAAAUGUAGAGCGCGCAAGAAAUACUGUCAAGCUAGAGACUGGAAGACGUGAGAAGUAUGUUCAAAGUAGCGGUAAAAUGUGUUAAUCUUGAGCAGACUAACAAUAGCGAAGGCAUCUCACGAGGACAGUUCUGACAGUAAGGGAUGAAGGCUAGGGGCGCAAAACGGAUUAGAUACCCGUGUAGUCCUAGCAGUAAACACUGCACACUAAACAUUAGUACCUCCUCGAGAGGUAUUGGUGCUGAAGGGAAGCCGAAGAGUGUGCUACCUGGGAAGUAUAGUCGCAAGGCCGAAACUUAAAGGAAUUGGCG
rnacentral:rRNA from 1 species